rnacentral:tRNA from 1 species
GGCUGCCUGGCGAAAUGGCAUCGCGUCUGACUACGAAUCAGGAGAUUGCAGGUUCGAUCCCUGCGGUGGUCA